UACGGAGGGUGCGAGCGUUGUCCGGAAUCACUGGGCUUAAAGGGCGCGUAGGCGGUCCGACAAGUCAGGGGUGAAAUCCUGCAGCUUAACUGCAGAAGUGCCUUUGAUACUGUCGGUCUUGAGGGAGAUAGGGGUGUGCGGAACUCACAGUGGAGCGGUGAAAUGCGUUGAUAUUGUGAGGAACGCCGGAGGCGAAAGCGGCGCACUGGAUCUCUUCUGACGCUGAGGCGCGAAAGCUAGGGGAGCAAACGGG
rnacentral:rRNA from 1 species